rnacentral:rRNA from 1 species
GACGAACGCUGUCGGCGUGCCUAAUACAUGCAAGUAGAACGCAGUUGCUAACGGGUGAGUAACGCGUAGGUAACUGCCUCAUAGCGGGGGAUAACUAUUGGAAACGAUAGCUAAUACCGCCUACUGUGAGAUGGACCUUUGUUGUAUUAGCUAGUUGGUGAGGUAAAGGCUCACCAAGGCGACGAUACAUAGCCGACCUGAGAGGGUGAUCGGACACACUGGGACUGAGACACGGCCCAGACUCCUACGGGAGGCAGCAGUAGGGAAUCUUCGGCAAUUGACGGAAGUCUGACCGAGCAACGCCGCGUGAGUGAAGAAGGUUUUCUGAUCGUAAAGCUCUGUUGUGAGAGAAGCGGUAAAUAAGAAGAAAGGGACGGCUAAAUACGUGACAGCAGCCGCGGUAAUAC